CCUACGGGGCGCAGCAGUGAGGAAUAUUGGUCAAUGGCCGCAAGUCUGAACCAGCCAUGCCGCGUGAGGGAAGACGGCUCUAUGGGUUGUAAACUGCUUUUGUACGAGGGCAAGUCCCGACACGAGUGUCGGGGUGAAAGUAUCGGAAGAAAAAGGAUCGGCUAACUCCGUGCCAGCAGCCGCGGUAAUACGGAGGACUCAAGCGUUAUCCGGAUUUAUUGGGUUUAAAGGGUGCGUAGGCGGUUCGUCAAGUUAGCGGUGAAAUCCCGGGGCCCAACCCCGGCCCGGCGUUUGA
rnacentral:rRNA from 1 species